AUGGAGCUGAAAGUAUUAUAUUACUUACUGUAUAAUAGAAAGCAGCUUUUCCAUACAAUCAAAGGCGAUGGUGAACAUGGCAGAUUUUUAAGGCAUUAUUUCUGGAAACACAAACAAACAAACAAACAAACAAAACUAUGUCUUCAUGAAGGAUUGAAAUGUAUGGUGUGCAUGGUUUUUAUUUUUAUUUUUAUUUUUUUUAAGCUUGGCAGCCUUUGGUCCCCAUCCAGUUCUACUGCAUGGAAGAGAGCAGCUGUACAUCUGCUGAAUAUCUCCUUUUGUGCCCCAAGGAAGAAUGAAAGUCAUACAGGGAUAGAAAGACAUGUGGGAAUUUAAGGUUGAGCCAGAGAUGCAAAACUCAAAUCAAAUGGUAGCAGUGAGAUCCUCAUCAUCGGUGAUGUAAAAAUACUCCCUGUCAAGAAGCACACCUUGAGUGAGACAGAUGGUCUAUUGAUUUUAUUUGAAAGGCUGCCACAUGUCUCAUUCUAUAUAACACUGUCCUUCUUCCGGACUUUAUCAACAGGAUUUUAGUAUUAUUGUGACGGAUACUGAGAGACAUAUGCACUCUCAACAGCUAGAAAAACUGAUUG
rnacentral:lncRNA from 1 species